CCUACGGGCGGCUGCAGUGGGGAAUAUUGGACAAUGGGGGGAACCCUGAUCCAGCCAUGCCGCGUGUGUGAAGAAGGCCCUCGGGUUGUAAAGCACUUUCAGUGAGGAAGAACGCCUGGUGGUUAAUACCCAUCAGGAAAGACAUCACUCACAGAAGAAGCACCGGCUAACUCCGUGCCAGCAGCCGCGGUAAUACGGAGGGUGCGAGCGUUAAUCGGAAUUACUGGGCGUAAAGCGCGCGUAGGUGGCUUGAUAAGCCGGUUGUGAAAGCCCCGGGCUCAACCUGGGAACGGCAUCCGGAACUGUCAAGCUAGAGUGCAGGAGAGGAAGGUAGAAUUCCCGGUGUAGCGGUGAAAUGCGUAGAGAUCGGGAGGAAUACCAGUGGCGAAGGCGGCCUUCUGGACUGACACUGACACUGAGGUGCGAAAGCGUGGGUAGCAAACAGGAUUAGAUACCCGUGUAGUC
rnacentral:rRNA from 1 species